rnacentral:rRNA from 1 species
GAUGAACGCUGGCGGCGUGCCUAACACAUGCAAGUCGAACGGAGUCGUUUUGGAAAUCUAUUCGGAGAUGGAAUUCUCGACUUAGUGGCGGACGGGUGAGUAACGCGUGAGCAAUCUGCCUUUAAGAGGGGGAUAACAGUCGGAAACGGCUGCUAAUACCGCAUAAAGCAUUAAAUUCGCAUGUUUUUGAUGCCAAAGGAGCAAUCCGCUUUUAGAUGAGCUCGCGUCUGAUUAGCUAGUUGGCGGGGUAACGGCCCACCAAGGCGACGAUCAGUAGCCGGACUGAGAGGUUGAACGGCCACAUUGGGACUGAGACACGGCCCAGACUCCUACGGGAGGCAGCAGUGGGGAAUAUUGCGCAAUGGGGGAAACCCUGACGCAGCAACGCCGCGUGAUUGAAGAAGGCCUUCGGGUUGUAAAGAUCUUUAAUCAGGGACGAAACAAAUGACGGUACCUGAAGAAUAAGCUCCGGCUAACUACGUG